rnacentral:lncRNA from 1 species
GGGAGCAUGUUCCCUUUAUUGUCUUUAGUUUUUGAGAAAGCUUGGAACAUGUUCCAACUUAUCUCUUUAUAAGUUUGUGUCAAACUCUUUCUAAGUUAUGCAAUCUUUUAUCUAAAGCCUUAUCUCUUUCAUUUUGUUGCUUGCCGAGUGUUUGAUUGUUCUGGUGUGUAAUAUCCAGAGUCAAGAGUGUCUAUCUCGGUGUGUCAUAUCCGAUCUAGCCACUUAGGAGUAUCAAGAAGCCUCUCCGCAGCCUCUUGUGUCACCAACCAUCCCACACGCCUUGAUCAGAUCGAGCCUCGUCUCUCUCUUGCAAGG